rnacentral:rRNA from 2 species
UAGGGAAUCUUCGGCAAUGGGGGGAACCCUGACCGAGCAACGCCGCGUGAGUGAAGAAGGUUUUCGGAUCGUAAAGCUCUGUUGUUAAGGAAGAACGAGUGUGAGAAUGGAAAGUUCAUGCUGUGACGGUACUUAACCAGAAAGGGACGGCUAACUACGUGCCAGCAGCCGCGGUAAUACGUAGGUCCCGAGCGUUGUCCGGGUUUAUUGGGCGUAAAGCGAGCGCAGGCGGUUAGAAAAGUCUGAAGUGAAAGGCAGUGGCUCAACCAUUGUAGGCUUUGGAAACUGUUUAACUUGAGUGCAGAAGGGGAGAGUGGAAUUCCAUGUGUAGCGGUGAAAUGCGUAGAUAUAUGGAGGAACACCGGUGGCGAAAGCGGCUCUCUGGUCUGUAACUGACGCUGAGGCUCGAAAGCGUGGGGAGCGAACAGG